GCUCUCUUAGUGUAGUGGUUAUCACAGUGGACUUUGAAUCCACUGACCCCGGUUCAAAUCCGGGAGAGAGCU
rnacentral:tRNA from 1 species